AGAAGCUUAGGAUAGAAAAACCAGUGACCUUCAACGUCACAAACAAGGGAUACAGCCCUUAGCUACUG
rnacentral:tRNA from 3 species